rnacentral:rRNA from 1 species
AUUGAACGCUGGCGGCAUGCCUUACACAUGCAAGUCGAACGGCAGCACGGGAGCAAUCCUGGUGGCGAGUGGCGAACGGGUGAGUAAUGUAUCGGAACGUGCCCAGUCGUGGGGGAUAACGUAGCGAAAGCUACGCUAAUACCGCAUACGAUCUAUGGAUGAAAGCGGGGGACCGUAAGGCCUCGCGCGAUUGGAGCGGCCGAUAUCAGAUUGGGUAGUUGGUGGGGUAAGGGCCUACCAAGCCGACGAUCUGUAGCUGGUCUGAGAGGACGACCAGCCACACUGGGACUGAGGCACGGCCCAGACUCCUACGGGAGGCAGCAGUGGGGAAUUUUGGACAAUGGGCGCAAGCCUGAUCCAGCAAUGCCGCGUGCAGGAUGAAGGCCUUCGGGUUGUAAACUGCUUUUGUACGGAGCGAAAAGGCUCUCUCUAAUACAGGGGGCUCAUGACGGUACCGUAAGAAUAAGCACCGGCUAACUACGUGCCAGCCGCCGCGGUAAUAC